GACGAACGCUGGCGGCGUGCCUAAUACAUGCAAGUCGAACGAACCGCGCCUGCGUUCUUGCACUUGGUCAAUGUGAGUCGCGAACGUGUGACUAACACGUCGUUCACCUACCUCAUAGUUGGGUUUAACAGUCGGAAACGACUGCUAAUACCGCAUUGGACAUGGAUUCACAUGAUUCUGUGAUGGCAGCUGGCGCAAGCUAUCUCUAGGCUAUUGAGCCUCGGUGCAUUAGCUAGUUGGUAGGGUAAGGGCCUACCAAGCCGAUGAUGCAUAGCCGACGGGAGAGGGGGAUCGGCGACAUGGGGAGUGAGACACGGACAAAACGACUGAGGGAGGCAGCAGAAGGGAACGUGCCGCAAUGGACGCAAGUCUGACGGAGCAACGCCGCGUGAGUGAAGAAGGUCUUGGGAGCGGGAAGCUCUGUUGUUAGAGAAGAACAGCGCAUAGAGUAAAUGUUAUGCGUGUGACGGUAUCUAACCAGAAAGCAACGGCUAACUACGUG
rnacentral:rRNA from 1 species